UAAAUUGCCCAAUCUCGGCUCGGGGAGGUAGUGACGAAAAAUAACAAUACGGGACUCUUUUGAGACCCCGUAAUUGGAAUGAGUACACUCUAAAUCCUUUAACGAGGAUCCAUUGGAGGGAAAGUCUGGUGCCAGCCGCCGCGGUAACUCUAGCUCCAAUAGCGUAUAUUAAAGUUGUUGCGGUUAAAAAGCUCGUAGUUGGAUCUCAGUUCCAGACGGAUGGUCCGCCUACCGGUGGUUGCUGUCCGGUCUGAGCAUUGCCGCCGGAAUUGUCUGAUGAUCUUUACCGGUUGUUGUUCGGUUCCGGCAAUUUUACUUUGAAAAAAUUAGAGUGCUCAAAGCAUGCGUGACGCAUGAAUAAUGGUGCAUGGAAUAAUGGAAUAGGACCUCGGUUCUAUUUUGUUGGUUUUCGGAACAAGAGGUAAUGAUUAAGAGGGACAGACGGGGGCAUUCGUAUUGCGACGCUAGAGGUGAAAUUCUUGGACCGUCGCAAGACGAACUACUGCGAAAGCAUUUGCCAAGAAUGUUUCCAUUAAUCAAGAACGAAAGUUAGAGGUUCGAAGGCGAUCAGAUACCGCCCUAGUUCUAACCAUAAACGAUGCCAGCCAGCGAUCCGGCUGUGUUCCUCAAAUGACACGCCGGGCAGCUUCCGGGAAACCAAAGCUUUUGGGUUCCGGGGGAAGUAUGGUUGCAAAGCUGAAACUUAAAGGAAUUGACGGAAGGGCACUACCAGGAAUGGAGCCUG
rnacentral:rRNA from 1 species